GAUGAACGCUGGCGGCGUGCCUAAUACAUGCAAGUCGAGCGAACAGACGAGGAGCUUGCUCCUCUGACGUUAGCGGCGGACGGGUGAGUAACACGUGGAUAACCUACCUAUAAUACUGGGAUAACUUCGGGAAACCGGAGCUAAUACCGGAUAAUAUAUUGAACCGCAUGGUUCAAUAGUGAAAGACGGUUUUGCUGUCACUUAUAGAUGGAUCCGCGCCGCAUUAGCUAGUUGGUAAGGUAACGGCUUACCAAGGCAACGAGGCGUAGCCGACCUGAGAGGGUGAUAGGCGACCCUGGAACUGGGACACGGUCCAGAGUACUGAGGGAGGCAGCAGUAGGGAAUCUUCCGCAAUGGGCGAAAGCAUGACGGAGCGACCGGGAGUCAGAGAUGAAGGUCUUCGGAUCGUAAUACUCUGUUACUAGGGAAGAACAAAUGUGUAAGUAACUAUGCACGUAUUGACGGUACCUAGUAAGAAAGCCACGGCUAACUACGUG
rnacentral:rRNA from 1 species